rnacentral:rRNA from 1 species
AUUGAAAAUUGCAUUCUUGGAAUUUUCAAUAAUGCGAUGGGCGAACGAUGAGAAUUGAACCCGCGCAUGGUGGAUUCACAAUCCACUGCCUUGAUCCACUUGGCUACAUCCACCCCUUAUCCAGCUAAAGGAUUUUUUCUUUUUUCCAUUGAUCAUUAUUCCAUUUAUUCUGACCUCUAUACUUCGAUUGAGAUAUUGGACAUAGAAUUCCACUCUUUAAAAAGGAAAAAGUAG